CGAGCACACAGCCAGCUCUCUCGGGCCUCCUCUCAGUGAAGGGAAAAAAAGACAUUAAAAUCAUCAGUGGAUUUAGCUGUGUCCAAUGUGAACAGGCGAGAGCCGGCCCCCUAAGGACCCACCAACUCCGCCACAACCGGACAAAGGUAGCAGUAGAAGCAUGCAUGAGCGCACAUAGACAGCUAGGCAAAGGGCUGGGGCUAGUUUCUAAGGCUCCCCCUGGAG